rnacentral:rRNA from 1 species
GACGAACGCUGGCGGCGUGCCUAAUACAUGCAAGUUGAGCGCUGAAGGUUGGUACUUGUACCAACUGGAUGAGCAGCGAACGGGUGAGUAACGCGUGGGGAAUCUGCCUUUGAGCGGGGGACAACAUUUGGAAACGAAUGCUAAUACCGCAUAAAAACUUUAAACACAAGUUUUAAGUUUGAAAGAUGCAAUUGCAUCACUCAAAGAUGAUCCCGCGUUGUAUUAGCUAGUUGGUGAGGUAAAGGCUCACCAAGGCGAUGAUACAUAGCCGACCUGAGAGGGUGAUCGGCCACAUUGGGAAUGAGACACGGCCCAAACUCCUACGGGAGGCAGCAGUAGGGAAUCUUCGGCAAUGGACGAAAGUCUGACCGAGCAACGCCGCGUGAGUGAAGAAGGUUUUCGGAUCGUAAAACUCUGUUGGUAGAGAAGAACGUUGGUGAGAGUGGAAAGCUCAUCAAGUGACGGUAACUACCCAGAAAGGGACGGCUAACUACGUG